CAUAUGUUUGGUGCUGAUGAUGUUAAAGUGUCAGUGAUGGAGGAAGAAUCUGCCACUCUUCCUAUUAAUCCCGAUGAUAUAAAGAGAGCUUCUAAUCUAGAGUGGACGUUUAAAGACACAAUUAUAGCAAAGAUUGAUAUAGAACGUGAAGAUUGUCCAGUAGAAUACCCCGAUGAGAGAUUCAGAGACAGACUGAAGGUGGACCGUCAGACCGGAUCUCUCAUCAUCCAAAACAUCACAUCUGAAGACUCUGGAGAAUAUAAACUGCAAAUCACAGCCAGCACAGAAAAGAAAAAGACAUUCAGAGUUUCUGUCAGUGGUGAGUGAUUCAUGUCUUCUCUUGUGAGCAUUGGAUUCAAAGUCUGUGAAGAGUUAAUAUAUUGUUCUGGAAAAUCCCCAAAUGUAUGCAUUAAUAAAUAAUAAUUUUUGAAGGUUUAUUUGAUCUUGUUUGUUGAAGGAUUAAACUUCAGAUGUGUUAAAUAUCGCAGAAGCGAACAACAGCAGCAUUUCGAUGAUGUAAUUUAUGAUUAAAAAAGGUUUCAUUUCAGUGUUUAACCUUCAGCCUACCUAGUCUAGGUUACAACAUGUCCAGUUAUUAAAAACAGCAGUAAACACAUCAAACAACACAUUCACUAAUUUAUAUAUAUUAUGAUUAUAUUAAAGUUAAACAAUCUUUUGAAUAUUUUAGUAUUUACAAUUCACAUUUAUGGCAGCACUACUGGACCUACUCGAUCCAAUCUUGACACAUGUGCACACAAUAUGGCACAUGCUAUAUACAAUGUAACUCGAUUUUACACAAAUCUACAAUCCGCAACCUUGAUUAUGACCAUUUAGAUUUUGAUGUAGAUUGGACACUAUAGUAUAUGUCAACUUCCACUAUUUGGAAAUUAUUGACAAUGUUUUACAUGUAAUGUGUUUCUGUUUGUUUGUUUGUUUGGUGUUGAGACAGAAAUGAGCACAGUGUCAUUGAUGGAGGGAGAUUAUUUCACUCUGCAACCUGUUCUUAAAAUACAGACAAAUGUUGUCAUACCGUGAGUUCAAUGGCGAUGUUUAACUCACUCGAGAUUCACAAACUGUGAUGUGAAUCAUCAGACCGGACACCUGAACAUCGCAAACAUCAGACUCGAUCAAUCUGGAGAAUAAGUGAAGUGAACGUCAACGGCAGAAGUUUGAUGUUACAAAGGACAUUCUGCAUUAAUGUCACUGAUCUGACGUCAUACACCAGUACUGCGACAGUAGCCACGCCCACCACAGCAGAGAUGACCAAUCGGAUCACAGGUUCAGGACCAUUACAACAGCAUCCACAAUAUGAGGAAUAAAAGAGGAUAAUUCGUAUGAAUUGACAAUAUUGAACUUUCAUAGAUGUUUU